rnacentral:rRNA from 1 species
UCGAGAAUCUUCCGCAAUGGGCGAAAGCCUGACGGAGCGACGCCGCGUGUGGGAUGAAGGCCUUCGGGUUGUAAACCACUGUCAGUGGGGAGCAAGUGCAUCGGGGUUAUCCCCGGUGUUUGAGCGAUCCGCAGAGGAAGCACAGGCUAAUUCCGUGCCAGCAGCCGCGGUAAUACGGAAUGUGCAAACGUUAUUCGGAAUCACUGGGCUUAAAGAGUCCGUAGGCGGCUUGUUAGGUGAGGUGUGAAAUCCCCCGGCUCAACCGUGGAAUUGCGCUUCAAACCGGCAAGCUUGAGGAGGAUAGAGGUGGGCGGAACUGAUGGUGGAGCGGUGAAAUGCGUUGAUAUCAUCAGGAACACCGGAGGCGAAAGCGGUCCACUGGGUCCUUUCUGACGCUGAGGGACGAAAGCUAGGGGAGCGAACGG